UUAGCAUAUCAAUAAGCGGAGGAAAAGAAACCAACAGGGAUUGCCCUAGUAACGGCGAGUGAAGCGGCAACAGCUCAAAUUUGAAAUCUGGCUUCGGCCCGAGUUGUAAUUUGCAGAGGAAGCUUUAGGCGCGGCACCUUCUGAGUCCCCUGGAACGGGGCGCCAUAGAGGGUGAGAGCCCCGUAUAGUUGGAUGCCUAGCCUGUGUAAAGCUCCUUCGACGAGUCGAGUAGUUUGGGAAUGCUGCUCAAAAUGGGAGGUAAAUUUCUUCUAAAGCUAAAUACCGGCCAGAGACCGAUAGCGCACAAGUAGAGUGAUCGAAAGAUGAAAAGCACUUUGAAAAGAGGGUUAAAUAGCACGUGAAAUUGUUGAAAGGGAAGCGCUUGUGACCAGACUUGCGCCGGGCGGAUCAUCCGGUGUUCUCACCGGUGCACUCCGCCCGGCUCAGGCCAGCAUCGGUUCUCGCGGGGGGAUAAAGGUCUCGGGAACGUAGCUCCUCCGGGAGUGUUAUAGCCCGGGGCGUAAUGCCCUCGCGGGGACCGAGGUUCGCGCAUCUGCAAGGAUGCUGGCGUAAUGGUCAUCAGCGACCCGUCUUGAAACACGGACCAAGGAGUCAAGGUUUUGCGCGAGUGUUUGGGUGUAAAACCCGCACGCGUAAUGAAAGUGAACGUAGGUGAGAGCUUCGGCGCAUCAUCGACCGAUCCUGAUGUUUUCGGAUGGAUUUGAGUAGGAGCGUUAAGCCUUGGACCCGAAAGAUGGUGAACUAUGCUUGGAUAGGGUGAAGCCAGAGGAAACUCUGGUGGAGGCUCGCAGCGGUUCUGACGUGCAAAUCGAUCGUCAAAUCUGAGCAUGGGGGCGAAAGACUAAUCGAACCAUCUAGUAGCUGGUUACCGCCGAA
rnacentral:rRNA from 1 species